rnacentral:rRNA from 1 species
UACGUAUGAGGCGAGCGUUGUUCGGAAUUAUUGGGCAUAAAGGGCAUCUAGGCGGAAUAUUAAGUCGGGUGUGAAAUCUUCAGGCUUAACCUGAAAACUGCAUUCGAUACUGAUAUCCUUGAGUCUGGGAGAGGAAGGCGGAAUUCCUGGUGUAGCGGUGAAAUGCGUAGAUAUCAGGAAGAACACCGGUGGCGAAGGCGGCCUUCUGGCCUAAGACUGACGCUAAAGUGCGAAAGCGUGGGGAG